CCUCCCGGGCUCCCGCGCAGACGGGGCCCCCCGGCGAGAGCCCGGGCUCCCUCCUUCGCCCACCCGCCGCGGCAUCUCCCUACCCAGGCCGUCCGCGCCAUUUUAGACACACACACUCACUCACUCACUCGCACACACACACGCACGGGAGCGAGGUUUCCGCUGCUGCUGCUGCCAGAGACAACAGGCAGCAGCCGAGCCCGGGCUGCGCAGGAGGAGCAGCGGCAGCAGUAGGAGAGGGACACACACACAUGCAAGCACACACACCCACGCACCGCGGGCCAGGCAGAAAUGUGCAUUUCAGAAAUACCGGAGCACGGCCCCCCGUUUCCUUCCCCCAGCCCCCGCCGCACCCCCGGGGAGGGGGGGUUGGAGUGAUUAAUGGGACGUACGCCCUUGGUUUCCCUCCGGCCACCCCGGCACACCGCUCCCCGGCGCGGAGCCGCCGCCGCACGCUGGGCGGGGGCGGCCCCCCCACGCAUCCGUCGGGGACGUUGGGAGAUAUUGAUCACGGACGACUUCAUUUUGCAUAACUGCGGCUGACAGGGCCUGCGGUUCCCUCAUUUACGGAGCAACAGCUUCGCGGAGCUGAGGGAUGGGGAAGCUGCUCCCUCCGCUUCCCCCCAGGGCCCUCCCUCCCUUCCCGCAGCGGCAGCCCCGCAGCCCCGCCGGGGGACGGCGGCUCCCGCACCUCAUGCAGCAAAUGGCCGGCGCACAACAGGGAAAUAUUAAACUUAGGUGCCUCCGUCUGUCGUUCUACCUAGCGAGGCCGGCCUGGGAGCCUCUCCCUCCCCGCAGGGCUUUGUCUGCACAGCCACGGCGGGGCCGGGGCCAGGGCACGGGGACCUUCGCCGGCCACAUGUAAGAAAAAGUGCUUGGGAAGUUGGGGCUUUUUCCUCUUUUUUUUUUUUUUUUUUCUUUUAUUCCCUCCUCCUCCCAACAACAAACAAACAGCUCGGUUUCUGCUGAACAAUGCAUAAAAAUUAGCCUCGCCCCAAAGUUUAUGUCGGGUUUAUGGCGCUAACGUUUCUCUUUAACGGGAAACGCUUUCCCGAGCACUUCUGGAAAGCGCUGGCGAGCCCUCGCUUACGAAAGCUGCAUUACGAGCACCUCGACUAAACGUCGCUGCAACUCCGUGUCCCGACCUCACAUCAACCUUCUCCAGACCUUUAGAGGCAAACGUCCAGGGUGGGCACAGCCAGCGCCAACCACCGCCCGCCUCGGCGUGCGGAAAACACCGGGGAAAGAGAAAAGGAAUCCCAACAACAACGCUCGGUUUUUCCGUGAAAAAUUGUAAAAUAAAAAUAAUUUUUAAAAAAAGGUAAGAAAAUGAAGGGGGGAAAAAAAGGACAUAAAGUUGCCGGUGGCGGCGGUGCCCCGGCGGAGAAGAGGGCAACACGGAGGCCGCCGCCGGCCCUGCCUUCCCAUCCCGGCGCUCCGCACCGAAACAAAGCAGCGAAUCAACUGCGAUGCAGAUGGGCGGCUAUGAAUUUUUUGCUGCUGCUUAGAGCUUUAAUUACUCGUUCUUGAUCCGUGGGACUACGACACGACACCGCCAAGGUUAAAAUGCCCUGAACAGCUCUGAGCAGAUGUGAACGAGUUGGCAGACGCGCAAAUGAGGUCUGCCUCUAAGCAUGAUAACAAGUGACUAAUACAUUGCAUAUCGCUGAAAGAAAAUUAUUUUUCUCUAA